UUAACUGAAUCAGUGUAACAUAAUCACUCAGCCUCAGCUGCUGUACUCUGUACUAGUCACUAAAUUAGUAAAAUUAGUUUCACUACUACAUGAACUCAGAUAAUUGUUCAAUCUACGUUACAUCGAACUUGUAUCCGGCUUCCAAGUGAGACAUACUGGUGAUCCAAGUGACCAUCUUCAGAAUGGAAGAUGAAAAUAAUCAUAAUCAAGUAAAGUUCGAGUCUUCGAUAGGAAAUUUAAUUAUCUGGCUGGCCAAAGAACAGUCCUGGAUUGUCCUGCACACACAAGAUAUAAAGCAUGGGAUGAGGAGGCAAGCAAGAUUUAAAAGAAAACUAAGUAUCAAAUUCCAGUAAUUGCAAGCUAUAUAACAAAAAGGGAUGGCAUUAAUGUGGAGCUAGAUGGCCAUGCAUCCUAGCAACCAAGCAGUUGAACAACUCAGAGACUUAUCCACUAGUGCCCCCACCACAGAAGGUAUACAGUGUCAUAUAAUAUAGCUUCUUAGCAAUGUUUAUAUCUCUUGGUUGUUAAGAGGGGGUCACAUGUUGGCUCACUGUCCUGCUACUGUGUCCUAUGUGAUCAGUUGUUACUGCAAAUUCGAAUAUUAUACUUGCUCAGUUCUCAUCAGAGUUGAUGUGAUUCUUUUCCUAAGGGUUUGAUGUUAUAGAACAUAGACUAGCAGGAAUUUGUUUUACAAUUUACAUCAGUCAUUUUCAUGCAAAAGCUGUGAGAUCAUAGUAAAUACUAAUGAUGUGCAAAGUAAGUUUAAUUCAUUUAGAGUUCAAGCAUGUGCAUUAAGUAUGUGUACACAUGCC
rnacentral:lncRNA from 1 species